AGUGAACGCUGGCGGUAGGCCUAACACAUGCAAGUCGAACGGCAGCACAGUAAGAUCUUGCUCUUACGGGUGGCGAGUGGCGGACGGGUGAGGAAUACAUCGGAAUCUACUUUUUCGUGGGGGAUAACGUAGGGAAACUUACGCUAAUACCGCAUACGACCUACGGGUGAAAGCAUGGGAUCUUCGGACCUUGCGCGAUUGAAUUAGCCGAUGUCGGAUUAGCUAGUUGGCGGGGUAAAGGCCCACCAAGGCGACGAUCCGUAGCUGGUCUGAGAGGAUGAUCAGCCACACUGGAACUGAGACACGGUCCAGACUCCUACGGGAGGCAGCAGUGGGGAAUAUUGGACAAUGGGCGCAAGCCUGAUCCAGCAAUACCGCGUGGGUGAAGAAGGCCUUCGGGUUGUAAAGCCCUUUUGUUGGGAAAGAAAAGCAGCAGGUUAAUACCCCGCUGUUCUGACGGUACCCAAAGAAUAAGCACCGGCUAACUUCGUG
rnacentral:rRNA from 1 species